GCGGCCUGCGGUGGAGCCCGUACGUCGGUUUCGGCCGUGCGUGCGGACCCGCGGUGUCCUGGCCGGCUGCUCGACGGUAGAACUAAGGCGCAGAGCCGCGACUAGCUCGCGUUCGGCCCAGCGCAAGCGCAAUCGGUUAUUUGUUUGUCGGACUUGUCCGAUUUCAAAGCCGGUUGGCUGUUGGCGUUGGUGUUCCCGGACAGACUCUGUUCACGCCAGUUAGCGGCGCUAUAGCUUUGGGUACUUUCAGGACCCGUCUUGAAACACGGACCAAGGAGUCUAGCAUGUGCGCAAGUCAUUGGGACUAUCGAAUCCUAAAGGCGUAAUGAAAGUGAAUGUAAAGCCUAGCUUUGCAAAGGGAAGAUGGGCAGCUUUUGAUGCCUCGCACUCCCGGGGCGUCUCGUUCUCAUUGCGAGAAGAGGCGCACCUAGAGCGUACACGCUGGGA
rnacentral:rRNA from 1 species